AUGUUUCCCCUUUGGUAACCAUAAGUUUGGUUUUGAGAUCUCUGAAUCUGUUUCUGUUUUGUGAUUUUAUUGUGUCCAUUCUAUUAGAUUCUACAUAUUAGUGAACUCAUAUGAUAUUUGUCUUUUGUCUGACUUCAUUUAGUAUGAUAAUUUCUAGGUCUAUCCCUGUUGCUAAAAAGAGAAUCAUUUCAUUCUUUUUCAUGGCUAAUGCUCCACUGUGUGUAUGUACCACAUCUUCUUUAUCCAGUCUUCUGUUGAUGGACAUUUAGUUUGCGUCCAUUGUAAAUAGUGCUGCAAUGAACAUUCGGGUGCAUGUAUCUUUUUGAAUUAUGGUGUUUGCUGGCUAUAUGCCCAGGAAUGGGAUUGCUAGAUCAUAUGGCAGCUCUAUAUUUAUUUUUUUAAGGAACCUCCAUACUGUUCUCCACAGUGGUCAUACCAACUUACAUUGCCACCAGAGUAUAGGAGGGUUCCCUCUUCUCUAUACCCACUCCAUCAUUUCUUGUUUGUAGAUUUUUUCUUUUUAGGACUGCCCCUGUGGCAUAUGGAAGUUCCUGGGCUAAGGGUCGAAUUGGAGCUGCAGCUGCUGGCCCAUGCUACAGCUACAGCAAUGCCAGAUCCGAGCCACAUCUGCAACGUAUGCCACAGCUUGCUGCAACACCAGAUUGAAAUGGAUACUAGUCGGGUUCUUAACCUGCUGAACCACACUGGAGACUCCUGUAGACUUUUUGAUGAUGGCCAUUCUGACUGGUGUGAGGUGAUACCACAUUAUAGUUUUGAUUUACCUUUCUCUAAUAAUUAGUGAUGUUGAGCAUCUUUUCAUGUGCUUUUUGGCCAUCUGUCUGUCUUCUUUGGAGAAAUGACUGUUUAGAUCUCCUGACCAAUGUUUAAUUGGGUUACUUGUUUAUUUGAUAUAAAGAUGUGUGAGAUGUUUAUAUAUUUUGGAGCUUAAUCACCUUUUGGUCACGUUGUUUGCAAAUAUUUUCUCCCAUUCUGUGGGUUGUCUUUUAAUUUGGUAAUGGCUUGCUUUGCUGUGCCAAGACUUUUAGGUUUAACUAGGUCCCAUUUGUUUGUUUUUAUUUUCAUUGUCUAGGAGGAAGACAAAGAAAAGAUAUUGUUGAGAUUUAUGUCAAAGAGUGUUCCACCUAUGUUUUUCUCCAGGACUUUUAUAGUAUCUGGUCUAAUAUUUAGGCGUUUAAUCCAUUUUGAGUUUAAUUUUUGUGAACAGUUUUAGAGGGUGUUCUAAUUUCAUUCUUUUACAUGUAGCUGUCUAGUUUUCCCAGCACCGCUAAUUGAAGAGACCAUAUCGUUUGAAGUCAGGGAGCCUGAAUCCCUUCAGAUUCGUUUUUCUUUAUCAAGAUUGCUUUGGUUAUUCAGAGAUCUUGAGGUUUUUAAUGACAGUUUGUCUUUUCUGUUUUUACAUCCUCACUGUGGUGACUGGAGCAGAAACUGGAAACUAAGCAAAGAAAUUUUAUUUCUGUAUACAUAUUUUCCUUUAAUAGCCACCAACAAGACGUUUUCAUUUUCUCUCCCUGACCCUGUCCACCAGUUAUGUUAGCUUACACACAUACUGCUAUAGCAACAUAUAUAAAUAUGUAUGAUACAUUUAUACACACAUACAGACAUUCUAAAGCACUGUAAAGGUACAGACUAUGCUUUAGCACAAUUGGGGCCCUCAGAUAUAUCACUUAAAAUGAUCACUGGUUUGCUUUACACAAGACUUUCAGUGGGCUUGGUGUGGCCAUCAGUCCCCAGUUCCAGAGAGAAGGAAGGAGGACAAAAUGGGACAGUAUCUUCAGAGUGAGGUCAGAACACUUUUUUGGAGAUCAGGAAGGAAUAGAAACAGGAGGUACAGGCUGAGCAUGAGAUGGCAUCUCGGAGUCACCUCUCACCACAUGGAUUCAAAUAACUCAGGUGCUGCAGUGUAGACUGAUGCCCAGCCUGAUUGUGACUCAGCUGUGCUGGCCCCCAGUUAGGUCGUAGGGCCCAGGCCACACUGUCCAGCAGGGCACUGCUGCUCAGUCCUGUGCUUUUAGAUCUGCCCAGGAGCUCCAGUGUCGGGACCUCAUGUCCCAUUCCUAGGAGGCAGGCCCUCCUCCCCCCGAGUUGACCUGCUGAGGAUGGGUGCUGAGGUGAGAAAUGUGCUGUUGCUGGUUCCCAUGCCUUAGGCGUGUUCAGAAGCAGUGUCACGAGGUCCUCUACAAGCUAUGCAUGUUUUGCUUAGCGCUGGGCCAAGUGGGCCAGGUUAUUCCGCAACUGCGGCUGGUUAUGCCACAAGUACAGGGAAGGCCCUCUGCCUUUCGCCCUGCCCCACCAGGCUACAUCUCUGACUUCUUUCAUCAGGUGUAGAGGAGGGGACCCUGGUCCUCCUCAGCAGACAGGGAGCUGUGCAAAAGGCGGGCAGGCCCAUCCUUCCUGCUGUUUUGAGUGGCUUCGAGUCUUGUAUGGCUCCUGAAAGGCAAGGGUUACGGGACUGGAGUGCAUGGCAGAGCCCUUAGGGAUUUCACCUGGAGACCAAAAUAACACAAAGUAAGAGCCCAUUAUCAGGCCCUGCUGGUGGCUGACUGAGGCUGGAGAGAGAGCUGAGUGGCGACAGCUCCUGAGGCUGGAGAGAGAGCUGAGUGCUGACAUGAGCCAGGAGCACAGUGAGAGGCUGUUAAGACGAUGAGCUAAGGGGAUGUGCUGAGGUCUGGAGGAGCGCCUGGUGCCACAGGUCAGAGGAAAAGCUUCCCACCGCCUCCUGUGGCGAUACCUCUGCUCAAAGCCACUGCACAUCAGGUGGCUGGAUGCUAUGCUCCCCCUUCAGGGACCAGGUCACUCUCCAAUUCACUUUGGAGAAAAAGGAUGGCUUUUGUGAUCUCCCAGGACAAGACGUGCUUGGUAUGAAACAUGCACAUGUACAAACAGCCUGUUGUAGGAAGAAGAGGACAGGGAGGUCCUCCUAUUCAGUUUUUGUUUCAUUUACUUGAUGAGAAAAGGGGCGGGGGGCGAGUCAGCAUCAUCUAAGUCUAGUCCCACCUCCUACAGAUGAGGGGCAGCAGGAUCACCGAGACUGGGGCCAGCCAAAGCCACACAGCCAGUUAGUGACAAGCCUGGAAUUAGAAACCAGGCUUUGGGCCCUUCCCAAUGCCUAGGGGAAGUAGAGAGGAAUUCUAAACUGGGGAGCCAGCAGUAAGAGAGGCAGUUGGGUUACCUUUGCUGGGACAGGAAUAAGGCUUUAUGGAGGCAAUCUUGUAAGUGUUCUUCUAAAGAGGCUCAGGAAAGAAAGGAAUUCAUCAGAGAAAAAC
rnacentral:lncRNA from 1 species